UCGCCAGCAGAGAUGAUAUGAUUGUUGGUAGUGCCUGCUCAAUGCCCAAGGGGUAAAUAGCCGCUGUAUUAUGACGGUGCUAAGGUAGCGAAAUUCCUAGCCUUUUAAUUGGAGGCCUGCAUGAAUGGCUUGACGAGUGCCCUGCUGUCUCUCUUCCCAUGAACUUUUAAAUUAACUUUCGCGUGCAAAGGCGCGGAUGGCUGAGUUAGACGAAAAGACCCUAUGCAUCUUUACUGAGAGAGAAGAGAGUUCUUUAGCUUGGUUUAGCUGGGGCAGCUGAGGAAAAGAUAAAAUUUCCUUAAUAUACACUAUACUGAUGGGUUUAGAUCCAGACUUCAUAGCGGGUUUGAUAAGUAGAAAAGUUACGCUAGGGAUAACAGC
rnacentral:rRNA from 1 species